rnacentral:lncRNA from 1 species
GAAAAGUCAAUCAAUAUGGCAAAGUUCACUGUUGUCUUAUUUUAAGAAAUUGCCCCAGCCACCCCAGCCUUCAGCAAUCAUCAACAUCAAAGCAAGACCCUCCAUUAGCAACAAGAUUAUGUCUCGCUGAAGGCUCAGAUGAUCAUUAGCAUUUUUUAGAAAUAAAGUAUUUUUAAAUUAAGGCGAGAUGCCUGAUGAGCUCCCAGUCAUGUGGUUCAGGGCGGGCUCUGGAAGACUCACAGAGGAGACUCCUCCGAGAAACCGAGAAGGUUUCUCUCCAAGUCGGGAUCUGCUCUGCCCAGGAUGCUCCUUCAACACACACACUGAAAAACUGAGCACCUAGAGAGCAACACCAAAAACCCAUGGCCAAUAAUGGACAACCAAAUCAGGAGAGCAUUCAGCAAAGCAAAUCUUGCUGUAGAAGGAACAGCACAAAAAGCUGGAAGGAAAUUGUGACACAUGUGAAAGAUAACUUGUCAGUGUUUGCAGUCUACUGAGAUCCCCACUGCAAGAAGAGGCAGGAUUUUCACUUGCUUCUUGGCCCGCCUCUGUUGUCCAGAAUCCAGGACAGGUGACAAGAGAAGCGGAUGUGAUCUGCACAAGCUGGUGCAGCUAGGUUGCAAGUUGCUCUUCCUGGACAGGCUGGGAAGGGUGCUGGAGGGGAGGGAGGAGGAGAGCGGUUUUAGGGAAGGGGUGCUGAGCAGUCAGGGACCUGUAAGGUCACAUUUCUUUCAGGUAUUCUUUCUAGGUGUACUGAAUGGGAACAUUGUCUGUCAUCCCUAGACUGCAUUAAAGACCUAAACUGUUCCCAUUUA